rnacentral:rRNA from 1 species
CACGUAGGGGGCGAGCGUUGUCCGGAUUUAUUGGGCGUAAAGAGCUCGUAGGCGGUUUCGUAAGUCGGGUGUGAAAACUCCAGGCUCAACCUGGAGACGCCACCCGAUACUGCGAUGACUUGAGUCCGGUAGGGGAGCGUGGAAUUCCUGGUGUAGAGGUGAAAUGCGCAGAUAUCAGGAGGAACACCAACGGCGAAGGCAGCGCUCUGGGCCGGAACUGACGCUGAGGAGCGAAAGCGUGGGGAGCGAACAGG